rnacentral:rRNA from 1 species
GCAUAUCAAUAAGCGGAGGAAAAGAAACUAACUAGGAUUCCCUUAGUAACGGCGAGUGAACCGGGAUGAGCUCAAAUUUAAAAUCUGGCGUCUUUCAGGCGUCCGAGUUGUAAUCUAUAGAGGCGUUUUCCGCGCCGGACCGCGUCCAAGUCUCUUGGAAUAGAGUAUCAAAGAGGGUGACAAUCCCGUACUUGACGCGACAACCGGUGCUCUGUGAUACGUUCUCAAUGAGUCGAGUUGUUUGGGAAUGCAGCUCUAAAUGGGUGGUAAAUUCCAUCUAAGGCUAAAUAUUGGCGAGAGACCGAUAGCGAACAAGUACCGUGAGGGAAAGAUGAAAAGCACUUUGGAAAGAGAGUUAAACAGCACGUGAAAUUGUUAAAAGGGAAACGAUUGAAGUCAGUCGUGUGAAAGGUAUUCAGCCGUCUCUGGCGGUGUAUUUGCCUUUCACGGGUCAACAUCAGUUUGAUCCGGUAGAAAAAGGCGGGAGGAAGGUGGCACCCUCGGGUGUGUUAUAGCCUCCUGUCAUAUGUGCCGGACCAGACUGAGGAACGCAGCUUGCCGCAAGGCCGGGGUUCGCCCACGUACAAGCUUAGGAUGUUGACAU